rnacentral:rRNA from 1 species
UACAGAGGUCUCAAGCGUUGUUCGGAUUCAUUGGGCGUAAAGGGUGCGUAGGUGGCGGUGUAAGUCUAACGUGAAAUCUCGGGGCUCAACCUCGAAAUUGCGUCGGAUACUGCAUCGCUCGAGGAUUGUAGAGGAGAGUGGAAUUCACGGUGUAGCAGUGAAAUGCGUAGAUAUCGUGAGGAAGACCAGUUGCGAAGGCGACUCUCUGGGCAAUUCCUGACACUGAGGCACGAAGGCCAGGGGAGCAAACGGG